rnacentral:rRNA from 1 species
AGAGUUUGAUCCUGGCUCAGGACGAACGCUGGCGGCGCGCCUAACACAUGCAAGUCGAACGAGCGAGAGAGAGCUUGCUUUCUCGAGCGAGUGGCGAACGGGUGAGUAACGCGUGAGGAACCUGCCUCAAAGAGGGGGACAACAGUUGGAAACGACUGCUAAUACCGCAUAAGCCCACGACCCGGCAUCGGGUAGAGGGAAAAGGAGCAAUCCGCUUUGAGAUGGCCUCGCGUCCGAUUAGCUAGUUGGUGAGGUAACGGCCCACCAAGGCGACGAUCGGUAGCCGGACUGAGAGGUUGAACGGCCACAUUGGGACUGAGACACGGCCCAGACUCCUACGGGAGGCAGCAGUGGGGAAUAUUGCACAAUGGGGGAAACCCUGAUGCAGCGACGCCGCGUGGAGGAAGAAGGUCUUCGGAUUGUAAACUCCUGUUGUUGAGGAAGAUAAUGACGGUACUCAACAAGGAAGUGACGGCUAACUACGUGCCAGCAGCCGCGGUAAAACGUAGGUCACAAGCGUUGUCCGGAAUUACUGGGUGUAAAGGGAGCGCAGGCGGGAAGACAAGUUGGAAGUGAAAUCUAUGGGCUCAACCCAUAAACUGCUUUCAAAACUGUUUUUCUUGAGUAGUGCAGAGGUAGGCGGAAUUCCCGGUGUAGCGGUGGAAUGCGUAGAUAUCGGGAGGAACACCAGUGGCGAAGGCGGCCUACUGGGCACCAACUGACGCUGAGGCUCGAAAGUGUGGGUAGCAAACAGGAUUAGAUACCCUGGUAGUCCACACCGUAAACGAUGAUUACUAGGUGU